CGGUUCUUGUAUGAUCACUGAAGUUAAACAACAUUGAGCCUGGUCAGUACCUAGAAGGGUGACCACUUGGGAAUGUCAGGUGUUGUAAG